GACGAACGCUGGCGGCGUGCUUAACACAUGCAAGUCGAACGGAAAGGCCCUUUCGGGGGUACUCGAGUGGCGAACGGGUGAGUAACACGUGGGUGAUCUGCCCUGCACUUUGGGAUAAGCCUGGGAAACUGGGUCUAAUACCGGAUAGGACCACGGUCUGCAUGGAUUGUGGUGGAAAGCUUUUGCGGUGUGGGAUGGGCCCGCGGCCUAUCAGCUUGUUGGUGGGGUGAUGGCCUACCAAGGCGACGACGGGUAGCCGGCCUGAGAGGGUGACCGGCCACACUGGGACUGAGAUACGGCCCAGACUCCUACGGGAGGCAGCAGUGGGGAAUAUUGCACAAUGGGCGCAAGCCUGAUGCAGCGACGCCGCGUGGGGGAUGACGGCCUUCGGGUUGUAAACCUCUUUCAGCAUCGACGAAGCGCAAGUGACGGUAGAUGCAGAAGAAGCACCGGCCAACUACGUGCCAGCAGCCGCGGUAAUACGUAGGGUGCGAGCGUUGUCCGGAAUUACUGGGCGUAAAGAGCUCGUAGGUGGUUUGUCGCGUCGUCCGUGAAAACUCACAACUCAAUUGUGGGCGUGCGGGCGAUACGGGCAGACUUGAGUACUGCAGGGGAGACUGGAAUUCCUGGUGUAGCGGUGGAAUGCGCAGAUAUCAGGAGGAACACCGGUGGCGAAGGCGGGUCUCUGGGCAGUAACUGACGCUGAGGAGCGAAAGCGUGGGGGAGCGAACAGGAUUAGAUACCCUGGUAGUCCACGCCGUAAACGGUGGGUACUAGGUGUGGGUUUCCUUCCUUGGGAUCCGUGCCGUAGCUAACGCAUUAAGUACCCCGCCUGGGGAGUACGGCCGCAAGGCUAAAACUCAAAGGAAUUGACGGGGGCCCGCACAAGCGGCGGAGCAUGUGGAUUAAUUCGAUGCAACGCGAAGAACCUUACCUGGGUUUGACAUGCACAGGACGCCGGCAGAGAUGUCGGUUCCCUUGUGGCCUGUGUGCAGGUGGUGCAUGGCUGUCGUCAGCUCGUGUCGUGAGAUGUUGGGUUAAGUCCCGCAACGAGCGCAACCCUUGUCCUAUGUUGCCAGCACGUAAUGGUGGGGACUCGUAGGAGACUGCCGGGGUCAACUCGGAGGAAGGUGGGGAUGACGUCAAGUCAUCAUGCCCCUUAUGUCCAGGGCUUCACACAUGCUACAAUGGCCGGUACAAAGGGCUGCGAUGCCGUGAGGUGGAGCGAAUCCUUUCAAAGCCGGUCUCAGUUCGGAUCGGGGUCUGCAACUCGACCCCGUGAAGUCGGAGUCGCUAGUAAUCGCAGAUCAGCAACGCUGCGGUGAAUACGUUCCCGGGCCUUGUACACACCGC
rnacentral:rRNA from 1 species